GACGAACGCUGGCGGCGUGCUUAACACAUGCAAGUCGAACGGAAAGGCCCUGCUUUUGUGGGGUGCUCGAGUGGCGAACGGGUGAGUAGCACGUGAGUAACCUGCCCUUGACUUUGGGAUAACUACAGGAAACUGGGGCUAAUACCGGAUAGGAGCUCCUGCUGCAUGGUGGGGGUUGGAAAGUUUCGGCGGUUGGGGAUGGACUCGCGGCUUAUCAGCUUGUUGGUGGGGUAGUGGCUUACCAAGGCUUUGACGGGUAGCCGGCCUGAGAGGGUGACCGGCCACAUUGGGACUGAGAUACGGCCCAGACUCCUACGGGAGGCAGCAGUGGGGAAUAUUGCACAAUGGGCGGAAGCCUGAUGCAGCAACGCCGCGUGCGGGAUGACGGCCUUCGGGUUGUAAACCGCUUUCGCCUGUGACGAAGCGUGAGUGACGGUAAUGGGUAAAGAAGCACCGGCUAACUACGUG
rnacentral:rRNA from 1 species